UCUAAUUUGGCAGAGAUAUUUAGGAGUGCAGUAAAUUUAGAAUUUACAUAGGUGUGAAACACAAUUAGGA
rnacentral:tRNA from 1 species